rnacentral:rRNA from 1 species
UACAGAGGGGGCGAGCGUUGUUCGGAAUUACUGGGCGUAAAGGGCGCGUAGGCGGCCUGCUAAGUCGAACGUGAAAUCCCCGGGCUCAACCGGGGAACUGCGUCCGAUACUGGUGGGCUCGAAUCCGGGAGAGGGAUGUGGAAUUCCUGGUGUAGCGGUGAAAUGCGCAGAUAUCAGGAGGAACACCGAUGGCGAAGGCAGGUCUCUGGGCAUUAACUGACGCUGAGGAGCGAAAGCGUGGGGAGCGAACAGG